GGGUGUACGUGUGGUUUUAGAAUCGUUGCGAAGUUCUCUGGAGGUAAAAUCUGUUUGAAUCUCUCGAGCUAAGAUAAGUGAUUCCUUGCUGGAUUUAUUGCUGUCUAGAAACACGUUUUCUGGCUUCUUCUCUCCUCUAGCUGCAAGCAUAGCUAUGACAUUAGCAAAACAAGGAGAGCACAAAAUAGAAAUUACCAUCGAACUCUACUUUGUGAAAAAGCUGCCUUACUUUACAAAGGAAACGAGAAGCUUUCAGAGCAGCCUACAGAUCCUAGAGUGAAAACGGGCAAGAAUGAGGCCGAUGAUUAUGAUGUAGCAGUCAUGCUUGCAUGAUCUGUCAAGGUCAUGUAUCCUGGCAAUGUACCUCAAAGUUCAGGGUCAUGGGACACAAGUCUGGGCGAUCUUGUGCUGGCAUUGCCUUAUAUUCAGCAGCAGUGCAAAGAAGAGAAUAAUAGUCUUGAUGAACGAAUGCCAAUACUUCUUUGUCGUGGUUUAUGUCAUCCGCUGGGUUACACACAAACUACUAGACACAACUGGCAGCUGAUACAGAAUGGUGAAAAGGGAAAGUUCAUUACUCCAAUGCUACAAAAAUGCAUUUGGAACCUGCCUUCAAACUUUAACAAUAUGUGAAGAAUACUAACAGUUAAGAUGUAUAAUUUUAAUAUCAAUGACUACUGCCCAAUAUAUUGAGCAAGAUAUUCCCUAGAUGGCUUGGACACCGCUAUAGCAGAGGGCAGUCAUAUGUGAAUAUCUGAUUGCUGUUACUGUUCCGAGUUGGCUGUUGCAGAUGAAGAAGCAAUUCAUUGCUUGAGCUUGUCAAAACUGGGUGCUGUGGCAUUUGUAUUAUAUGUAGUAGCUUAUGUAAUUACCUGUACGUCAUGUAAUGAAAGAGCAGCAGCUGACAACAGACAGUAAUAUCGCAGCACCAUAGGAGUGAAAUUAAA